rnacentral:pre_miRNA from 1 species
UCUAACUUGAGAUAUAAGUUGAACACUGAACAGUGUCCGGACAUAUUCGGACUUCUUCAUUGUUGCUACAAUUUGGACUUGAAAACGGCCUUUUUAAAUCUUGGACUCCUCAUGAAAGUUUUAGGCCUAUGUCUUAGCUUUCCAUC